rnacentral:lncRNA from 1 species
AUUAGAGUAGAUGGUCGUUGGACCAAGGGUCGAGAUGCUGUAGUUGUGGAGGAGGAGCAUGAUGAGGGGGAGGGUCCCUCAUCACCAUCUGAGUCCAGAUCAAGCUCUGAUAUUCAUUUUGUGUCGAAGCCUGAGGUAGGUCCUUCAGUUAGUGUACCCCCAUCUACGAGCCAUGCCGUGCCAUCAUCAUCUAGAUUGGGGGAGGACGAGAUGGGACUGCUAGCUGAGCGGAUAGCAGACAUUCUUUCUAUCUAGCAGUAGUAGUUUUAGGACCAGCUCCUUUAGCAGUUUUAGCAGUUUCAAUAGCAAAUCCUUCAGCAGAUACAGCAGCAGUAGUAUCACCCUUCUCAGUCGAGCUCAUUCUCUGCUUCCUCAUCAGAUCUCUCAGUUGUACCACAUAUCUCCUUUUUGGUACAGUUAUUGACUGAUCUGAGCUCCAGAUUGGAGAGUAUAGAGAGCUCUAUUUUCAGAUUCAGUGACAAACUUUUUGACAUAGAGAGGGAGAUCAGAUCGAUCUUGACUUCACUGAUAACUGGAGUGGGCACCUCGAGCAAUUUGUCAUCUUGGUUAGCUGAUCUUGCUUAGGAGGUAGAG